UCAAUUUUGGCAGGACGAGCAUGUGGAUGCUCUUUUUUGGCAUGCUCCUGCAGUUCCAAAUAGGCACCUGUAAAUUUACAUUUCUGUUCUUCACAACACCUCUUCUUCUCAUCUAAACGUAAACGAGCUUUCCGAACAACAAUCCAUCCAGUAACUUCUCCUCUACACAAGGGACAAGCAAGUUUGACUUUUUCAUCUGCUUCUGACGACUCAGAAUUUGUUCCCGGAGUUCCUUCAGACAACGAAGGAGGUGGCAUACCGCAGGCCUUCUUAAAGCGGUCCAAGCAAUUUGAAUGCAAGUGAUCAGUAUCACAAACAAAU
rnacentral:lncRNA from 1 species